rnacentral:lncRNA from 1 species
UUUUAUCGUAAAUUCUAGGUCUUUAAAAAUAAAGUUUUCGGGUGAAAAACACUUUCAAAUGAUAGAAUGAUUAGCAUAUUAUGCAUUCGCAUAAUUUUCACUUAUAGUUAUCGGUUCAGGGAUAAGCAAAAAAUGACAUUACAGGGAUAGGUAUAAAUUGAGGUAUAUAUAAGCGGGAAUUAGAUCAAUUUUGUGUUUAGAUCAAAAUUGGAUUAUUUCUAGGAAUAAAAAAAAGCGUUGGUCAGGUAAGAUGGAAUAAGAAUUAACGUGGGUAAUUUUAAAUAAAACAAAAUGAUAUUAUCCCUUUUUAAUAUUAGAAUUAGAAUUUUUAUAUUUUAUAUUUAUAUUUUAGAAUUUAAAACAUAAACUUUUAGAUAAAAUUUUAAUUUAAAAAUACAAAAUAUCAAAUUCUAAAUAUAAAAAAAUUUAAAAUAUCAAAUUCUAAAUUUUAAAAUUAAACAAUUUAAAAUUUAAAUUUUUAAUUUUGAAAUUUUAAAAAUUAUAAAUUUUAAAAUUUUAACUUACGAAAUUUAAAUUUUAUUAUAAAUUAAAAAUUCUCUCUUUCUCUCUCUCUCUCUCUCUCUCUCUCUCUCUCUCUCUCUUUCUUCACGGGUGGAACAAGCUAGGUUAUCCUAGCUUGUUCCACCUUGGGGUGGGAACACUAAUUGUCACGCCUCGAGCUCGCCUAUUUGGUCGGUUUGGGCACGUCGAAUAAACACCGAACGGACAGCACCUCACCUGUCCGCUCAAGGCUCAACACAAGUACAAAUCAAGUAUAUAGUUUGCACAAGCGGAAAUAUAAACAUACACAGCUUGCACGAGGACAAGCAAUAGCCAAAAGUAAAAGUACUAAGCUAAGCAACCAUACAAGUACUAUGAUUAACUUUUAAUCACAUACAUGCAUUCACAUUCAAUCAUUUCUUCUCUUUAUACAUUACAUGAUCUCCAAAAUAAGCUCUCUUAUAUUUAAACUUCAUUUAUACAUUUGCACCAUUCAUAAUACCAAUAUCAUCAAAUACAAAAGAUGAUAUAGCUAGAGGGUAUGAAACUAAGCAAGUAAGAAACCAACUCGGGUGGACACUAGCUAUGGCGCGAUACCUUUACCGCGAUCUUCGGCCAGCUCACUCGGUCCCGACUCUGUGGAAAAUAGUGGGGUGAGAAAUACAACAAAGUUCGCAGUGGGUUCGGCCGCUGACCUCGCUGACUUUCCCACUAGAUCUAAAUCAGGCAUAAUAGAAGAAUAAACAGAUAGAUAGUAUCCAACUAUACAAAUGCAGCUAAUAUGCAUGAAGAAUAAAUA